rnacentral:tRNA from 1 species
GCUGAUGUAGCAUAGUGGUAGUGCAGCUGACUCGUAAUCAGCAGGUCGUGAGUUCAAGUCUCAUCAUCAGCUCCA